rnacentral:lncRNA from 1 species
AUGUCCCUCUGUGUGCUCUCUGAUCACCAGACUGGAGGCCCAUGCAGGCUGGGCCGCUGGUCCUAUGCUGUCCUCACCACGCUCAGCAUCCUCAAUAAAUGCCUGUGGAGGCUGAUGUGGGAGCUGUGGAGACUCGGGAGUGAGGCUGGGAGGGCUCUGCCUUCUCUCGGUCCUGCGUUGAAUAAACAUGCCUUGUGCAGACACGGUGCCAGGCAGUGCGGGACCCCGAGAGGCCAAGGGGCCGGGUGGGCUGAGAAUCAGAGUGGUCUCUAUCUGAGGCCGGGCCCUGCCUCCACCCAGCUGCAAGUCACUCUUUGGGCAAACCUUUCCCCCACGUGCCUCAGUUUCCUCCUCUGCAAAAUGAGGACAGACAGCCGACCCUGUGAAAGGGCUGUGAGAGCUAAACGAGGCGGAACAUUCCAGUGCCGUGCGUGGGGCCUCGUCUCUAUCGUGGGCUUCAUAGCCGCUUUGUCAAACGGUCCAGAGUGGUUUGCUUUCGCUCCAGUGCCUUGCCCCCCAGCUGUGCACAGUCAAACCGCUUCUUCCUGGCCCUUGACUCAAAGAUUUUCAAUCACUUUCAAUUUUAAAAAUCGGAGGCCUCUUUGUUCUAAUUCUAGGGUCUCUUCUUCUGCUCCUCCUCUCUGCUUCUGUUCCAGCUCCUCCUGUGUGUUGGAUUGGGUGUGGGGGCAGGGUGGACACAAACACGAGGCGUGCGGCCUCGCCUCCCCUGGCCCUUGCUGUCCUCUCUGUGGAGACAGUGGGUGGGCCAUUGUCCCCUCCGUCCUUACCCUCACUCUGUCCCUGGUGAGGGGAGGCACGCCCUGGUCCUGGCCCUUCCCUGGGUGCAAAGCAGGAACGCUGGCCUCUCACCUCCCACAGCAUCUGUUAGCCUCACUGGCCCCACCCCGGACUCUUCCCCUCCUGCUUGAGCAUCAAGUCGGAUGUGUGAGAAUCAUCCAACGGGAGGACAAACAGCUGGUCUCCCCUUCUUUAUUCCUCCCCAGGAUUUCCCAGCCCCUUUCCUUGCAGCCUGGGAAGGAAGAUGCUUGGGGGGCGGCCUCCUAG